GUGCAAGCGUUGCUCGGAAUUAUUGGGCGUAAAGGGGAGGUAGGUGGUCUCAUUUGUCUGGGGUGAAAGCCUUGAGCUUAACUCAAGAAGUGCCCCGGAAACGGUGAGACUAGAGUCUUGGAGAGGGUCGUGGAAUUCUCGGUGUAGCAGUGAAAUGCGUAGAUAUCGAGAGGAACACCAGUGGCGAAGGCGAGUCCCUGGACAACACCUGACACUGAGGCACGAAAGCUAGGGGAGCAAACAGG
rnacentral:rRNA from 1 species